UUUUUAUAGAUGUAAAGCGGUAAUAGAUCAGUUUGGUCAGAGAAUAAUCUCUAAGCAUUUCCUUGUGGAGGACAGUUACUUUUCUGAGAACAUGUGCUCCUGUGUGCAAUACAGGCAGAUCUCCAGGGCAGUCCUGAUUACAGAUAGAUCUGUUCUAAAAACAGAUUCAGAUCAACAGAUUUCCAUUUUGACAAUACCAGCAGAAGAAGCAGGAACUUUUGCUGUUCGGGUCAUUGAGCUAUGUUCCUCAACGAUGACAUGCAUGAAAGGCACCUGUAAGCACAGUAGUUAGAUUAUUUAUCUUUUGUGUUUGGGUAGAAAGUAAAUUGGACAGAUACUGUAGCUGAAAGGUUGUGUUUAUACAGACUUUCCAGGUUUUUAAAUUAUGUACAGUACUUGUUCAUAUAAUAUUUGGCAAACAAGUUCCUUUGAAU